AACGAACGCUGGCGGCGCGCCUAACACAUGCAAGUCGAGCGAGAACCAGGGCUUCGGCCCUGGGGACAGCGGCGAACGGGUGAGUAACACGUGGAUAACCUGCCCUCGGCACCGGAAUAGCCCGGGGAAACCCGGAUUAAUGCCGGAUGGCCCCACAUCCCUGCGGGGAACGUGGGAAAAGGUAGCUUCGGCCUCCGGCCGAGGAUGGGUCCGCGGUGGAUUAGCUUGUUGGCGGGGUAACGGCCCACCAAGGCGACGAUCCAUAGCUGGUCUGAGAGGACGAUCAGCCACACUGGGACUGAGACACGGCCCAGACUCCUACGGGAGGCAGCAGUGGGGAAUCUUGCGCAAUGGGCGAAAGCCUGACGCAGCGACGCCGCGUGCGGGAAGAAGGCCUUCGGGUUGUAAACCGCUUUCAGGAGGGACGAAGCCACUCGGGUGAACAGCCCAGAGGGUGACGGUACCUCCAGAAGAAGCCCCGGCUAACUACGUGCCAGCAGCCGCAGUAAGAC
rnacentral:rRNA from 1 species